GUCCAGCCACUCCAAGGAAGGCAUGCUCAGCACCGCGGCGGGGAUGGUCGUGAAGUGGUUCAUGCUCAGAUCAAGAAGCUGUCUAGCUCUGAAGCCCUUCGGUGUAAAAUGAAGCCUUUCCGGGAUGCUGUCUUGCUGGAUCUUAGCACUGUGGGAUUUCUUCCGUCUCUUCAAUGCUGCUUGGCUUCAAAAGGGACAAAGUUCUUAGUUGGGUGUGGUGGCGCACGCCUGUAG